CAACAGUUCGACAUGAUCUACUUCGCCGCUUGGUAGCGAGCUAUUACUGGAAAAUGAGUUUGACCGAAACUUAGGACAAUCUGCCAUGAAAUUUGACAAAAGGGUAUCUUCAAUUUAGAAAUUCACUUGUGGAAACACUAAUUAGUUGGCAAAUAUUUUGGAAUCCAUGUGACGUCACUAGCCUGCAAUACAAGAAGACUGCCAACGAAAAUCGUAAAAAAAUAUUACUUUUAUUUAUGUAAAGAAUUUGCUAAUAUAAUUUGAAAGUUCAAUUGAAAAUUCAAAAACAAACAUCAAAAA